rnacentral:tmRNA from 1 species
GGGGGCGAUCGGUUUCGACCGGGCACGUGAAGCGCCGGUUGCGCGCGGUGGGCGUCCGGGUCCACCUGAAUCCUCCGGGCACCAAUCGCAACUGCCAAUCCGCAGUUUGCACUCGCUGCCUAACUAGCGCCAACGCUGGUUGGUCACGACCGUCCCCGGGGCCCUCGCUUGCGGGCUCCGGCAAGACGGCCAUAAAAGCAAGCUGGCCGUACUCCCCCCGUCCGAGGGGACGCGGCGAGAUCAACCGGGCUGGCCCCGGGGCACCCCGUCGGUCGGGGGUCCCGAGGCGAGAUCCAUGGGCCGACUACGCGCGUAGAUGCUGGCGUCGAUCUGUCACGGGACGCGGGUUCGAUUCCCGCCGCCUCCACCA